UACGUAGGGGGCAAGCGUUGUCCGGAUUUAUUGGGCGUAAAGAGCGUGUAGGCGGCCAGGGAGGUCCGUUGUGAAAACUCGAGGCUCAACCUCGAGACGCCGAUGGAAACCCCCUGGCUAGAGUCCGGAAGAGGAGAAUGGAAUUCCUGGUGUAGCGGUGAAAUGCGCAGAUAUCAGGAGGAACACCGAUGGCGAAGGCAGGUCUCUGGGCAUUAACUGACGCUGAGGAGCGAAAGCAUGGGGAGCGAACAGG
rnacentral:rRNA from 1 species